AACGAACGCUGGCGGCGUGCUUAACACAUGCAAGUCGAACGCGAAAGGGACUUCGGUCCUGAGUAAAGUGGCGCACGGGUGAGUAACGCGUAGAUAACCUGUCUUCACGUCUGGAAUAAUACGCCGAAAGGGGUACUAAUACCGGAUAUUCUUGCUUUUCAUAAGUUUUGCAAGGAAAGGUGGCCUCUGUAUAUGCUACUGCGGGAAGAGGGGUCUGCGUACCAUUAGCUAGUAGGUGGGGUAAUGGCCUACCUAGGCAACGAUGGUUAGCGGGUCUGAGAGGAUGAUCCGCCACACUGGCACUGGAACACGGGCCAGACUCCUACGGGAGGCAGCAGUGAGGAAUAUUGCGCAAUGGGGGAAACCCUGACGCAGCGACGCCGCGUGAGUGAGGAAGGCCUUCGGGUCGUAAAGCUCUGUCAAAGGGAAAGAAGUGCAUGGUGGCUAAUAUCCAUCAUGUUUGACGGUACCACUGAAGGAAGCACCGGCUAACUCCGUGCCAGCAGCAGCCGCAGUAA
rnacentral:rRNA from 1 species